AGAGUUUGAUCAUGGCUCAGGAUGAACGCUGGCGGCGUGCUUAACACAUUCAAGUCGAACGNACCUUCGUGGUUAGUGGCGGACGGGUGAGUAACGCGUGGGAAUCUGCCCUCAGGAGGGGGAUAACGGCCGGAACACGGCCGCUAAUACCCCAUAUGCCGAGAGGUGAAAUGAAUUUCGCYUGAGGAUGAGCCCGCGUCUGAUUAGCUAGUUGGUGGGGUAAUGGCCCACCAAGGCGACGAUCAGUAGCUGGUCUGAGAGGAUGAUCAGCCACACUGGGACUGAGACACGGCCCAGACUCCUAGCGGGAGGCAGCAGUGGGGAAUUUUCCGCAAUGGGCGAAAGCCUGACGGAGCAACGCCGCGUGAGGGAUGAAGGCCUCUGGGCUGUAAACCUCUUUUCUCAAGGAAGAAGACAUGACGGUACUUGAGGAAUAAGCCACGGCUAAUUCCGUGCCAGCAGCCGCGGUAAUACGGGAGUGGCAAGCGUUAUCCGGAAUUAUUGGGCGUAAAGCGUCCGCAGGCGGCCUUGUAAGUCUGUCGUUAAAGCGUGGAGCUUAACUCCAUUUAAGCGAUGGAAACUACAAGGCUUGAGUGUGGUAGGGGCAGAGGGAAUUCCCGGUGUAGCGGUGAAAUGCGUAGAUAUCGGGAAGAACACCAGUGGCGAAGGCGCUCUGCUGGGCCAUAACUGACGCUCAUGGACGAAAGCCAGGGGAGCGAAAGGGAUUAGAUACCCCUGUAGUCCUGGCCGUAAACGAUGAACACUAGGUGUCGGGGGAAUCGACCCCCUCGGUGUCGUAGCUAACGCGUUAAGUGUUCCGCCUGGGGAGUACGCACGCAAGUGUGAAACUCAAAGGAAUUGACGGGGGCCCGCACAAGCGGUGGAGUAUGUGGUUUAAUUCGAUGCAACGCGAAGAACCUUACCAGGGUUUGACAUCCUGCGAAUCCCUUGGAAACGAGGGAGUGCCUUCGGGAGCGCAGAGACAGGUGGUGCAUGGCUGUCGUCAGCUCGUGUCGUGAGAUGUUGGGUUAAGUCCCGCAACGAGCGCAACCCACGUCUUUAGUUGCCAGCAUUCAGUUGGGCACUCUAGAGAGACCGCCGGUGAUAAACCGGAGGAAGGUGUGGAUGACGUCAAGUCAUCAUGCCCCUUACAUCCUGGGCUACACACGUACUACAAUGCUACGGACAAAGGGUUGCAAGCUCGCGAGAGUUAGCUAAUCCCAUAAACCGUGGCUCAGUUCAGAUCGUAGGCUGCAACUCGCCUACGUGAAGGAGGAAUCGCUAGUAAUCGCAGGUCAGCAUACUGCGGUGAAUACGUUCCCGGGCCUUGUACACACCGCCCGUCACACCAUGGAAGUUGGCCAUGCCCGAAGUCGUUACUCCAACCCUUGUGGAGGAGGACGCCGAAGGUGGGGCUGAUGACUGGGGUGAAGUCGUAACAAGGUAGCCGUACCGGAAGGUGCGGCUGGAUCACCUCCU
rnacentral:rRNA from 1 species